UCGCGUGUUGUUGUAUUGCACAGUGACUGUCUGAACAUGCUCCUGCCUGUAAAGAGAGUACAGUGACCUCUGAGAGAAAGGUAUCUCUGAUUUGCCCUGUCACCUCUGAUGCUAAGUCUUCUCUUCUGUCUUUGCUCCUCCUCCAGUUCUCCCAGUUGAAGUGGUAGAGCAGAGGGCGCUGUGCAGAGCAACAAGAACAUGUCUUGACUUGUACCGGCUUGUCAGGAGGGAGUUGAGGCUUGUGGUCAGCGCCAGUAACUGUUUCUCAUCCAACUGACCAGUGAAAGACGAAAACAGCAUACUGUCGACUGUAUGGAUAUUGGGACAGACUGAACUGACAAACAUUCAACACCCAGUUUCUGCACUGGAUGAUCCCUUUCUGGAAGAUCCCUGACCUCACCACGGCUUAUCGGCUGUCUUCUAAUGACACCGACCCCAGAGACAAAAGAAGCGUAUCCAGAUGUCCUGGAGACGAUGAGAGACCUGGAGUCAGCAGUAAGGCGACCUCUCACCUACCGUCAUCUCUUGGAAAGUGAAAGCAGAACAAAGGCUUAUUCGGUAAGGGGAAAUCUACCUCUGUCCCUGGCUGUCAUACAAAAACUCUGGACAUUCCAUGAGCAGAGUAUUAAAGUGUCCAGAGCUCACCUGCAGCAGACGGGAGAGUCAUAUACGAGGAGCCUUUACAGUCACCGACAGAUGAUGGCGAGAGAUGCUGAAGUGAUGGAAGGAGAGCGAGCGAGUGAUGGAAGGGUGCUGCUGUGAGUGGUUCUUUGGCAGUGUCUUAGCUGGUUGUUGUGUGGAGUGAGAACGAAGCAAUCAGCAAGUAUACUGCCGCAGAAACUCGUCACCUUGGGAGGCCCAUCUAUCCGACCCCGCUCACGCACUCAGCUGCCCACCCGCACUUAGAGCCUGGAGAGAGAGACAAGAAAAGAGAACCUCAGUCUGUACAUAUUACCAAGCUUCUCUUCCCAUUCGUUCUUCUAAUUGUGAGUGUGAGCUUUUGUUUUUGUCACUGCCGCUUGAACACAUACAGCGACUUAUUUCAUAAGCGCAUUUCAAGUGAAAGACUGAUUCAUGCUUACAGUAUCUUUGGUCAUUUUUUUCCAUGACGUUAUUGUCAUAGUUUAGAUCAAAUGAUUUUUUUUUUUUUUUUUUUCAUGAGAUCAGGAGUUAUUUAGUCAAGUGUUAUUGUGAAUAUCAGCUGACCAGAUUUCAGUAUUGCCAUUACAUGGUGUGACCUGUUUAUACUUGGACUAUAUGAUGAUAAAUUCAGAUGACAUUGUGUUGUAAUAUGUUCAUUAUGAAGUUUGCUAAUGGACUAAAAUAUACAUUAUCAUCAAUGAUGAAUGAAAAUACCUGUCAUUUUGGUUUGAAAAAAUGUCUAGAAUAUUUUUUUGAAAAUAAAAAUAUAUAAAUACACAAAUAUGUAGAAUGUAAGUGUUUAAUAACCAUUUUAAAAAUAUAUUUUUUUAAUAUUUGUAUUAAUAUUGAUUUAAAUUUAUUUUUAAUAGACUGUAUUUUAAUGAUUUCAUUUUUCCAAACAACAAUAAAAAGUUUUUAAAAUGUC